rnacentral:rRNA from 1 species
GAUGAACGCUGGCGGCGUGCCUAAUACAUGCAAGUCGAGCGAACAGAUGAGGAGCUUGCUCCUCUGACGUUAGCGGCGGACGGGUGAGUAGCACGUGGAUAACCUACCUAUAAGACUGGGAUAGCUUCGGGAAACCGGAGCUAAUACCGGAUAAUAUAUUGAACCGCAUGGUUCAAUAGUGAAAGACGGUUUUGCUGUCACUUAUAGAUGGAUCCGCGCCGCAUUAGCUAGUUGGUAAGGUAACGGCUUACCAAGGCAACGAUGCGUAGCCGACCUGAGAGGGUGAUCGGCCACACUGGAACUGAGACACGGUCCAGACUCCUACGGGAGGCAGCAGUAGGGAAUCUUCCGCAAUGGGCGAAAGCCUGACGGAGCAACGCCGCGUGAGUGAUGAAGGUCUUCGGAUCGUAAAACUCUGUUAUUAGGGAAGAACAAAUGUGUAAGUAACUAUGCACGUCUUGACGGUACCUAAUCAGAAAGCCACGGCUAACUACGUG